GAUUCUGGGCAGUGGAUUACUUGGCUUAUGUAUCUGCUAAGAAAGCAGCUAGCUGUAGUAGUUAUUGUGAAAGGCAGGACACAUUGAUCCCUGACAGUUUGAACACACUUGUGGCCCAGGUUCAUUUCAGUGUGG
rnacentral:rRNA from 1 species